UUUACUUUAACUGUGUCGACUGUAGUAGGGUUUGUUGCUUAAAGAAUUGAGUCUUUUAUCUUUGUCAUGAGUCAUGACCACAUAUUUUCCCUUCCACAAUAAUAAUAUACUGGCAUGAUAAAUAUUUCAUGCUUACAACUCGCAACAUGUUCUUCAUAGUCUCUUGUGCCCUUUUUCCAGAACUGUGGUGCAAUUCUAAUAUGGAACGUGAAGCAACUCUGCCGAUCUUUUGUUGGGUUGAGCAACUCUCUUUGAAUGUUAUGUACAAUAAAUCGACUGAGGAGAAGUCGACUUAGCUUGAGACAUUGUACAAGUUUUUUGGACUCUGUUUAUUUUCAGUUCUGCUAUCUGGUUUAUCUAUAUUAUGUUUCUUGUUAUGUAAUACCAUUCCAAUAUGAGAAUCUACUCUGCAUUUACUGGGUAGAAAAUCGUAUCCUUCUGCUCCAUAAAAUUUUUGCCAAAUAAGAAAAUGUCUCAAAAUAGGUGGAACGUUCAAAAACGAAAAUGUCUUAAGAUAGGUAAAACGAAGAAAGUAUUUAAUUGAAAAAGAUAUAAUGCAAGUAAANACAAUAAUAAUAUACUGGCAUGAUAAAUAUUUCAAGCUUACAACUCCGCAACGUGUUCUUCAUAGUCUCUUGUGCCCUUUUUCCAGAACUGUGGUGCAAUUCUAAUAUGGAACGUGAAGCAACUCUACCGAUCUUUUG
rnacentral:lncRNA from 1 species